rnacentral:lncRNA from 1 species
UUUAUUUUUAUUUUUGGCAUAGAAUAUAUUUUGGUAUUUUUAAGUUAAUGAAUUUUCAUAUUUUUUUCCUUAUUUUAGAUAAUUUAUUAAAUUGGAAUGUGCUAGGAAUUAAGAAAUUUUAAUUUUAGGUAAGACAAGUUGGAAAGAAAUAAGGAACUUACUUCCUUUUCAAAAUUAAACUCUCAGAGAUUUUUUUUUUUCAAAAUUAAUCUUUUUA